rnacentral:rRNA from 1 species
CGUGUAGGCGGGAAGGUAAGUCGGGCGUGAAAUCCCUGAGCUCAACUCAGGAACUGCACUCGAAACUACUUUUCUUGAGUGCCGGAGAGGAAAGCGGAAUUCCUGGUGUAGAGGUGAAAUUCGUAGAUAUCAGGAGGAACACCAGUGGCGAAGGCGGCUUUCUGGACGGUAACUGACGCUGAGACGCGAAAGCGUGGGGAAGCAAACA